rnacentral:rRNA from 1 species
GUGAACGCUGGCGGUAGACCUCACCCAUGCAAGUCGAACGGCAGCACAGUAAGAGCUUGCUCUUACGGGUGGCGAGUGGCGGACGGGUGAGGAAUACAUCGGAAUCUACUUUUUCGUGGGGGAUAACGUAGGGAAACUUACGCUAAUACCGCAUACGACCUACGGGUGAAAGCAGGGGAUCUUCGGACCUUGCGCGAUUGAAUGAGCCGAUGUCGGAUUAGCUAGUUGGCGGGGUAAAGGCCCACCAAGGCGACGAUCCGUAGCUGGUCUGAGAGGAUGAUCAGCCACACUGGAACUGAGACACGGUCCAGACUCCUACGGGAGGCAGCAGUGGGGAAUAUUGGACAAUGGGCGCAAGCCUGAUCCAGCCAUACCGCGUGGGUGAAGAAGGCCUUCGGGUUGUAAAGCCCUUUUGUUGGGAAAGAAAAGCAGCAGGUUAAUACCCCGCUGUUCUGACGGUACCCAAAGAAUAAGCACCGGCUAACUUCGUG